rnacentral:rRNA from 1 species
UGCGAAUGGCUCAUUAAAUCAGUCAUGGUUUAUUUGAGAAUUAACUUACUUGGAUAACUCUGGUAAUUCUAGAGCUAAUACAUGCCCAAAGCGGCGGCCUCGCGGCAGCCGCAGCUUUUAUUAGUACCAAGACCGAUACGGGCUCGUCCCGUACCUUCUGGUGAAUCUGGAUAACAAGUGGAUCGCACGGCCACCGCGCCGGCGACGCAUCUUUCAAGUGUCUGCCCUAUCAACUUUCGAUGGUAGGGUAUUGGCCUACCAUGGUUGUAACGGGUGACGGGGAAUUAGGGUUCGAUUCCGGAGAGGGAGCCUGAGAAACGGCUACCACAUCCAAGGAAGGCAGCAGGCGCGCAAAUUACCCACUCCCGACUCGGGGAGGUAGUGACGAAAAAUAACGAUACAGGAUCUCUUACGAUCUUGCAAUUGGAAUGAGUACACUUUAAAUCCUUUAACGAGGACCAAUUGGAGGGCAAGUCUGGUGCCAGCAGCCGCGGUAAUUCCAGCUCCAAUAGCGUAUAUUAAAGUUGCUGCAUUUAAAAAGCUCGUAGUUGGAUCUCAGGGUACGGACCGCGGUUCCCUUUGUGGGGUCUACUGCGGUGCGGACCUUCAACUCUCUGCGGCUCCGGAUCGCGUGCACUUCAUCGUGUGCCGGUGCGGUCCGCAACGUUUACCUUGAAAAAAUUAGAGUGCUCAAAGCAGGCGCCUCCGCCCGGAUAGUUCAGCAUGGAAUAAUGGAACAGGACCUCGUGUCCCGUUUUGUUGGUCUUCUGGACCGAGGUAAUGAUUAUUAGGAACAGACGGGGGCAUUCGUACUGCGGCGCUAGAGGUGAAAU